GCCUGAUUUGAAAACAUAAUUGGCUGAUCUCCUCAUACGUCUUAGUGCCUAAUACGGGUAUGGCCGGUCCAUGGCGAACAGAACGGUAACAUAUCUCUCCAAUAAUAUGAGCUUGGGCACACGGGGAAACCCAACCCCUUGGGAAGAUGGGUUAUAUGGCUAAAUUGAGCGGG
rfam:Anopheles gambiae M scf_1925497118 genomic scaffold, whole genome shotgun sequence.